rnacentral:rRNA from 1 species
AAUGAACGCUGGCGGCAGGCCUAACACAUGCAAGUCGAACGGAGCGGGGAAGGGUGAGUAACACGUGGAUAACCUCCUAUAAGACUGGGAUAACUUCGGGAAAACGGAGCUAAACCGGAAACUUAUAGAUGGAUCAGCGCUGCAUGAGCUAGUUGGUAAGAUAACGGCUUACAAAGGCAACGAUGCAUAGCCGACCUGAGAGGGGGAUAGUCCACACUGGGACUGAGAAACGGUCCAGACUCCUACGGUAGGCAGCAGUAGGGAAUCUUCGGCAAUGGGCGAAAUCCUGACGGAGCAACGCCGCGUGAGUGAUGAAGGUUUUCGGAUCGUAAAACUCUGUUAUUAGGGAAGCGGUACCUAAUCAGAAAGCCACGGCUAACUACGUGCCAGCAGCCGCGGUAAUAC